UACGGAGGGUGCAAGCGUUAUCCGGAUUCACUGGGUUUAAAGGGUGCGUAGGUGGGCAAGUAAGUCAGUGGUGAAAUCUCCGGGCUUAACCCGGAAACUGCCAUUGAUACUAUUUGUCUUGAAUACUGUGGAGGUCAGCGGAAUAUGUCAUGUAGCGGUGAAAUGCUUAGAUAUGACAUAGAACACCAAUUGCGAAGGCAGCUGGCUACACAAAUAUUGACACUGAGGUGCGAAAGCGUGGGGAGCAAACAGG
rnacentral:rRNA from 1 species